rnacentral:rRNA from 1 species
UACGUAGGGUGCGAGCGUUGUCCGGAAUUAUUGGGCGUAAAGAGCUUGUAGGCGGUUUGUCGCGUCUGCUGUGAAAAUCCGGGGCUCAACCCCGGACUUGCAGUGGGUACGGGCAGACUAGAGUGUGGUAGGGGAGACUGGAAUUCCUGGUGUAGCGGUGAAAUGCGCAGAUAUCAGGAGGAACACCGAUGGCGAAGGCAGGUCUCUGGGCCGAUACUGACGCCGAGGAGCGAAAGCGUGGGGAGCGAACAGG